GUUAAAAUAUAAAAUACUAAAAGCUAAGUACAGACAGUCAAAAAGACCAAGGCUGAAUCUACUUAAUCUUUGCAGGUUAGUUUUAAGCUAUGUAGAUUGAACCUGUAAGCGAGUGAACAAACAUUCACUUUUAAUUCUGGAAAUGCAGCCACAUGCCUGCAGUGGGGGUGGCCAGAAGCUGGGGUGUGCUAGAGCACACUUCUCUGUUUGACUGAAGCAGACAGUUUGGGGCAAGACCCACCUGACCACCCUGUGAGUGGGGGUUUGCAAGGGAUGUGCAAAGCAUCCUGGGAUGCUGGGGGGCUCUGAGUUGACUUGAAUUUGGAAUGGAUC